AAUAAAUCACAAUUUUCGUUACACUUGACAAGAUUGCACUUACUACUGUUAAGAAAGGAAGAAAUAUGUGUAAAUUGCAUGAAGAAAUCGAAUCAGUUUUAACCAACCAACUUAAUUUAAACGUGUGUGUUUACAACAACUCUUUCGAGCCAGUGAAUUAAUAGCUUUAAUGGCUUUAUCGACAACAUUCUUUUUGUUUCUGCAUACGAGAGAUUUAAAUACAAGAUUGCGC